rnacentral:rRNA from 1 species
CUCUUAGAUGUUGGGGUGGCGAACGAGCUGUACCUCCAUUUCGGAGUCCUGCUCAGAGGUGAGCGCGGGAAAUCUUUGAAAACCACCCCGUGGUUGGGAUCGGUGAUUGCAAUUAUUCACCUUGAACGAGGAAUGCCUAGUAUGGGCGCUUCAUCAGAGCGCCCCGAUUAUGUCCCUGCCAUUUGUACACACCGCCCGUCGUUGCUACCGAUCCGGUGGGGGAACAGAGGCCUUGGGAGCUGCGCGCGGGGGCGCCUUCCGGCGCGCCCGUGUCGUGGCGAACCCGAUGUUCAACUGCUAGAGGAAGCAAAAGUCGUAACA